UCUUGUUCAUUCACUGAAACCGACACUAUGCUCCGACAGAACAACAUAAAUCAGCCGGUUUUAGACAAAAAACACACUUCUAUCUCCACCCUAGAGUCUGUUAUUUGUUUUGAAACAAUCCACAGCUUCCGGUUCUUCUGGUCCAAUCAGAGCAGGGCUGUGUGAGAUUUGACUGUCAAUCACAGUC